rnacentral:tRNA from 1 species
GGAGUGGUGGUUCAAUGGUAGAAUUCUUGCCUUCUUUGUGGGAGACCCAGGUUCGAUUCCUGGCCAAUGCU